rnacentral:tRNA from 1 species
GGGCGAAUAGCUCAGUGGGAGAGCACCUGCCUUACACGCAGGGGGUCACAGGUUCAAGCCCUGUUUCGCCCACCA